CCUCUGACGAACUUUUACAGUUAUAUGGAGAUACAAAAGAUUUUCUAUCAGCGGCUCGACUGUAAAGGAGAGGAUCAGCAAUGGAAUUGUUCAACAGAGUUUACAGUUAAAGAAGAGAA